rnacentral:rRNA from 1 species
GAUGAGCGCUGGCGGCGUGCCUAAUACAUGCAAGUCGAGCGAACAGACGAGGAGCUUGCUCCUCUGACGUUAGCGGCGGACGGGUGAGUAACACGUGGAUAACCUACCUAUAAGACUGGGAUAACUUCGGGAAACCGGAGCUAAUACCGGAUAAUAUAUUGAACCGCAUGGUUCAAUAGUGAAAGACGGUUUUGCUGUCACUUAUAGAUGGAUCCGCGCCGCAUUAGCUAGUUGGUAAGGUAACGGCUUACCAAGGCAACGAUGCGUAGCCGACCUGAGAGGGUGAUCGGCCACACUGGAACUGAGACACGGUCCAGACUCCUACGGGGGGCAGCAGUAGGGAAUCUUCCGCAAUGGGCGAAAGCCUGACGGAGCAACACCGCGUGAGUGAUGAAGGUCUUCGGAUCGUAAAGCUCUGUUAUUAGGGAAGAACAAAUGUGUAAGUAACUAUGCACGUCUUGACGGUACCUAAUCAGAAAGCCACGGCUAACUACGUG